GUUCCUGUCUGGUGGAGCACAGAGGAGUCUGCCAAGAAAUGGACUCUUGGUGACUCCAGCUCAUGGGUUGUGUGGGUGGAGGGAGACCUGGAGUCCCUGGGGUAGGACUAUGAGUGGGUCCUUGCUGGGGGCAGGGUAGGGCAGGAACUGGAAUUCCUCCCUCCACUCCCACAAGAAAUAUCAGAAUUGGUGUUCCUGGACCCGAGGGUUUGAUCCUGCAGCACUCUACUCCAGCAAAACUCCCACUGAGCUCAGCUCUUUUGAUCUGCAACACUUCUGCUUCUAGAUGAGCUCAGAGAACUAGAGUCGCUGGAGGAUCACAGCAGCACCGGUUUUGCUGUGGGAUUCAGUUCUAUGGAAUUGUUACUGGUACACAAGGAAUUGCAUCUCAAGCACUUGAAAGUGAAAGCAGCCAGG